GGUAUUUUACUGGAUCAUUCCGUCCACACUGAGAGGUUAGGGUAUUUUACUGGGUCAUUCUGUCGACACUGAGGGGUUAGGGUAUUUUAGUGGGUCAUUCUGUCAACACUGAGGGGUUAGGGUAUUUUACUGGGUCAUUCUGUCAACACUGAGGGGUUAGGGUAUUUUACUGGGUCAUUCUGUCGACACUGAGGGGUUAGGGUUAGGGUAUUUUACUGGGUCAUUCUGUCGAUACUGAGGGGUUAGGGUUAGAGUAUUUUAGUGGGUCAUUCUGUCGAUACUGAGGGGUUAGGGUUAGGGUAUUUUACUGGGUCAUUCUGUCGACACUGAGGGGUUAGGGUAUUUUAGUGGGUCAUUCUGUCAACACUGAGGGGUUAGGGUAUUUUACUGGGUCAUUCUGUCAACACUGAGGGGUUAGGGUAUUUUACUGGGUCAUUCUGUCGACACUGAGGGGUUAGGGUAUUUUACUGGGUCAUUCUGUCGACACUGAGGGGUUAGGGUUAGGGUAUUUUAUGAGGCAUUCUGUCAACACUGAGGGAUUUGGGUUAGGGUAUUUUACUGGGUCAUUCUGUAGACACUGAGGGGUUAGGGUAUUUUACUGGGUCAUUCUGUCGACACUGAGGGGUUAGGGUAUUUUACUGGAUCAUUCUGUCCACACUGAGAGGUUAGGGUAUUUUACUGGGUCAUUCUGUCGACACUGAGGGGUUAGGGUAUUUUACUGGGUCAUUCUGUCCACAUUGAGAGGUUAGGGUAUUUUACUGGGUCAUUCUGUCGACACUGAGGGGUUAGGGUAUUUUAGUGGGUCAUUCUGUCAACACUGAGGGGUUAGGGUAUUUUAUGGGGCAUUCUGUCGACACUGAGGGGUUAGGGUUAGGGUAUUUUAUGGGGCAUUCUGUCGACACUGAGGGGUUAGGGUAUUUUACGGGGCAUUCUGUCGACACUGGGGGGUUAGGGUAUUUUACGGGGCAUUCUGUCGACACUGAGGGGUUAGGGUUGGGGUAUUUUACGGGGCAUUCUGUCGACACUGAGGGGUUAGGGUAUUUUACGGGGCAUUCUGUCGACACUGGGGGGUUAGGGUAUUUUACGGGGCAUUCUGUCGACACUGGGGGGUUAGGGUAUUUUACGGGGCAUUCUGUAGACACUGAGGGGUUAGGGUUGGGGUAUUUUACGGGGCAUUCUGUCGACACUGAGGGGUUAGGGUAUUUUACGGGGCAUUCUGUAGACACUGAGGGGUUAGGGUAUUUUACGGGGCAUUCUGUCGACACUGAGGGGUUAGGGUUGGGGUAUUUUACGGGGCAUUCUGUCGACACUGAGGGGUUAGGGUUGGGGUAUUUUACUGUCUGAAAUUUGUUUGUGGCAUAUUAGUGCUUUUGUUCAGCUCAUCUCUGAGUAGUAUUCCGAUGAGCUUCUAACACUACGAGAAAGCUGCAUUAUUUAAUACUGCUUCCAAAGGUCAUUCCUUUUGUUAAUUUUAACCACGCUGUCAUGCAUUCCUGACUGACUUGUCAAGUCUAAGCUCGGUUGGGAAAUCAGAGACAUGCAGUGACCCUUUUGAUCUGAGACUUUCUGUCUUAAACGCCAUGAUGCUGCCAUGUCUGGGAACCGGAGACCUGUGAUGCACGUUAAUGAACAUGGUAUAGACCAAGCCCUGGGGGGAGUGUGGGCUGCGAGAGAGACUGACCCUGCAAGAGACCCCUUACAAGCCCAGGGUGACAUUCUUAAUUUUUGUGAGCACUUCUGCACUUUUUGUGACUGAUUAUCCAGUGUUUUGGAGCAAUAAAAUCCCAACCGACAGGCAACCAAUAAGAUAUCAACUACAGGCAACCAGUAAGAUACUCAGAGC